AGAUUGAACGCUGGCGGCAUGCCUUACACAUGCAAGUCGAACGGCAGCACGGGAGCAAUCCUGGUGGCGAGUGGCGAACGGGUGAGUAAUAUAUCGGAACGUGCCCAGUCGUGGGGGAUAACGCAGCGAAAGCUGUGCUAAUACCGCAUACGAUCUAUGGAUGAAAGCGGGGGAUCGCAAGACCUCGCGCGAUUGGAGCGGCCGAUAUCAGAUUAGCUAGUUGUGGGUAAAAGCUACCAAGGCGACGAUCUGUAGCUGGUCUGAGAGACGACCAGCCACACU
rnacentral:rRNA from 1 species